rnacentral:misc_RNA from 2 species
AAGUCGUAACAAGGUCUCCGUUGGUGAACCAGCGGAGGGAUCAUUAUAGAGUUUUCUAAACUCCCAACCCAUGUGAACUUACCAUUGUUGCCUCGGCAGAAGCUGCUCGGUGCACCUUACCCUGGAACGGCCUACCCUGUAGCGCCUUACCCUGGAACGGCCUACCCUGUAGCGGCUGCCGGUGGACUACCAAACUCUUGUUAUUGUAUUGUAAUCUGAGCGUCUUAUUUUAAUAAGUCAAAACUUUCAACAACGGAUCUCUUGGUUCUG